GAUUAUAUGUAAUGGAUUUAAACCCCAUUUAUAAAGGAUUAUCCUUUUUUUAGAA
rnacentral:tRNA from 1 species